AAUCAACGCUGGCGGCGUGCCUCAGACAUGCAAGUCGAACGAUUAAAGCUCUCUUCGGAGAGUGUAUAGAGUGGCGCACGGGUGAGUAACACGUAAGUAAUCUACCUUCGAGUGGGGAAUACCGUCCGGAAACGGACGCUAAUACCGCAUAAUGCAGCGGCAUCGUAAGAUGACAGUUGUUAAAGAUUUUAUCGCUUGAAGAGGAGCUUGCGGCAGAUAGCUAGUUGGUAAGGUAAUGGCUUACCAAGGCUACGAUCUGUAACCGGUCUUAGAGGACGGUCGGUCACACUGACACUGAAUAACGGGUCAGACUCCUACGGAGGGC
rnacentral:rRNA from 1 species